AUUGAACGCUGGCGGCAGGCUUAACACAUGCAAGUCGAGCGGGGUGAUGGUGCUUGCACCUUAUCUUAGCGGCGGACGGGUGAGUAAUGCUUAGGAAUCUGCCUAUUAGUGGGGGACAACAUUCCGAAAGGAAUGCUAAUACCGCAUACGCCCUACGGGGGAAAGCAGGGGAUCUUCGGACCUUGCGCUAAUAGAUGAGCCUAAGUCGGAUUAGCUAGUUGGGGGGGUAAAGGCCUACCAAGGCGAAGAUCUGUAGCGGGUCUGAGGGGAUGGUCCGCCACACUGGGACUGAGACACGGCCCAGACUCCUACGGGAGGCAGCAGUGGGGAAUAUUGGACAAUGGGCGGAAGCCUGAUCCAGCCAUGCCGCGUGUGUGAAGAAGGCCUUUUGGUUGUAAAGCACUUUAAGCGAGGAGGAGGCUACCUGGAUUAAUACUCUAGGAUAGUGGACGUUACUCGCAGAAUAAGCACCGGCUAACUCUGUGCCAGCCGCCGCAGUAA
rnacentral:rRNA from 1 species